UGAAGAAGAAAAAAAGGAGGAAGAGGAGAAGGAGAAGAAUGAAACAAACAAUCUCAUGGAACAGUGGCUGCUAUAUGUGCUGGCACAAAUUAGAAGAUUCACAGAAAGCUUCACAGGAUAAUGUUACCCCAGAACUGCCUCCAACCCUGUGACUUACCUGUGCAACAGAGCCAGAGCAAGGCCAACCUAAGAAUACUGGAAAAAGCACCGACUUUCUUCUGGAGAAACAUUCUUUAAAACUUAUCAAGCAAACAAGCAAGCAAACAAACAAACAAAAUCCAACUUCAUGGAGAACAUUUGCAUUCCCAGUACCUUGAAGGACAAGCAGGAGAAUCACAAGUUUGUGGAGAGCUGCCUGAUUAUAGU